rnacentral:rRNA from 1 species
UACGGUGGGAGCGAGCGAUAAUCGGAAUUACUGGGCGUAAAGGGUGCGUAGGGGGUAUGGUAAGUUAUCUGUGAAAUUCCUGGGCUUAACCUGGGACGGUCAGAUGAUACUGCUGUACUCGAGUAUGGGAGAGGGUAGUGGAAUUUCCGGUGUAGCGGUGAAAUGCGUAGAGAUCGGAAGGAACACCAGUGGCGAAGGCGGCUACCUGGCCCAAUACUGACACUGAGGCACGAAAGCGUGGGGAGCAAACAGG